rnacentral:rRNA from 1 species
UGUGUAGGCGGUUGUUUAAGUUUGGUGUGAAAUCUCCCGGCUCAACUGGGAGGGUGCGCCGAAUACUGAAUGACUAGAGUGCGGGAGAGGUGAGUGGAAUUCCUGGUGUAGCGGUGAAAUGCGUAGAUAUCAGGAGGAACACCGGUGGUGUAGACGGCUCACUGGACCGUAACUGACGCUGAGACACGAAAGCGUGGGUAGCAAACA